rnacentral:rRNA from 1 species
AACAGCUCAAAUUUGAAAUCCGACCCUUUUAGGGCCUGAGUUGUAAUUUGUAGAGGGUGUUUCGGGCGCGGCGCCGGUCUAAGUUCCUUGGAACAGGACGUCGCAGAGGGUGAGAAUCCCGUACGUGACCGGUAAUCAAGCCCGGGUGAAACCCCUUCGACGAGUCGAGUUGUUUGGGAAUGCAGCUCAAAAUGGGUGGUAAAUUUCAUCUAAAGCUAAAUAUUGGCCAGAGACCGAUAGCGCACAAGUAGAGUGAUCGAAAGAUGAAAAGCACUUUGGAAAGAGAGUUAAACAGUACGUGAAAUUGUUGAAAGGGAAGCGCUUGCAACCAGACCUGCUCGCGGGCGAUCAACCGCUAUUCUUAGCGGUGCACUCGCCCACGAACAGGCCAGCAUCGGUUCAAGCGGCUGGAUAAAAGGCCUAGGAAUGUAGCUUUCUCCGGGGAGCCUUAUAGCCUAAGUCGUAAUGCAGCCAGCCUGGACCGAGGACCGCGCUUCGGCUAGGAUGCUGGCGUAAUGGUUGCAAGCGACCCGUCUUGAAACACGGACCAAGGAGUCUAACAUCUAUGCGAGUGUUUGGGUGUAAAACCCAGGCGCGGAAUGAAAGUGAACGGAGGUGAGAACCUCUUAAACGGGGGCGCAUUAUCGACCGAUCCAGAAGUCUUCGGAUGGAUUUGAGUACGAGCAUAGCUGUUGGGACCCGAAAGAUGGUGAGCUAUGCCUGAAUAGG